UACGUAGGGUGCAAGCGUUAAUCGGAAUUACUGGGCGUAAAGCGUGCGCAGGCGGUUUUGUAAGUCUGUCGUGAAAUCCCCGGGCUCAACCUGGGAAUGGCGAUGGAGACUGCAAGGCUAGAAUCUGGCAGAGGGGGGUAGAAUUCCACGUGUAGCAGUGAAAUGCGUAGAGAUGUGGAGGAACACCGAUGGCGAAGGCGGCAUCCUGGACCGAGAUUGACGCUGAGGCGCGAAAGCGUGGGGAGCAAACAGG
rnacentral:rRNA from 1 species